AGCGAACGCUGGCGGCAGGCCUAACACAUGCAAGUCGAGCGCCCAGCAAUGGGAGCGGCAGACGGGAUAGUAACACGUGGGAACGUACCCUUCAGUUCGGAACAACCCAGGGAAACUUGG
rnacentral:rRNA from 1 species